UUUUUAAAAACUUAUCUAAUGCUGGUUUAUAAUACAGUAAGAUUUUAGGAGUACAGUUGAACAUUUAUGCAUGUGUGGGUAUGUACAGCUCCCCACUCUUACCAACAGUGUUCCUGUGUCAACAAAGAAAUGGAACCCUCUUUCUACCACCAUGUCCUAAGGUUUUAAGGUUAGUAAAAUGUGUAUAAGUGCUCCCAAUACAGCUAGGAUGUAUUAUUAGUUGUAAGUCACUUGGUUCCCCCUAGACCUCUCUGAUCACCAAACCAGCAUGAAGUCUGAGGCACUUUUUAAAAGUAAUUUUCAGAAGCUUGAGGCACUUUUUAAAAAGUUACUUUUGUCACAAGAUUGAUUGCUUUCAUUCUGUAGUUCUUAUAUGAGUAACACUCAUAUAUCUUGUAAUUGUCUUUUUUUUAAUUAGUGAUUUCAUUAUGAUCAAUAAGAUUGUGGAAUAAGAGGGGUACAACUCCAUACAAUUUCUUUCAACAGAGUUCCAUAUCCCAUCCCUUCCAUUGGAAGUUUCCCUGUUCUUUCUUCCUCUGAGAGUAUGAACCAAAGAUCUUUAUGGAGUACAGAAGGAGGGAGAUGUGGCUUCUGUAAUUGCUUCUUUACUGGACAUGGAUGUUGAUAGGUCAAUCAAUACCUCCAGCCUAUUUCUAUAUUUCCCUAUUAGUGUAGGGCUCUGGGGAGGUGGGGAGGUCAUCUGUCCAGGGAAGUCAGGUUGGUAUCAUGGUAGCACCUGCAACUUGGUGGCUGAAAAGCAUCGAUAUAAAGCAGAACAGGAUUGAUGGGGUUCACUGUUAAUGAUAAUCGUCUUUCACUUCUUAUUUUACUUAACGUAAUUGAGGAGUAGAAGUUUUAUCUUAAUGCACUAAUAUUUGUGUAUUAGUUUUUUUUUUUUUUAAAUCUACCUUCAGUGCUUAUUAAUCAUUGGAAGCUUUUGCUUAUGUGUUGCAGAAAAUCCUGCUUCUCAAGUGUCUUAAGUAAUAAGGACAAUUAUAAACCCACAGCACAAGAAAUUCAAGCAGGGUGGACUCCACAGCCCAGUUUGUCAAGAAGGAACCAGAUUCUGUCUAUCUUUCUGCUUUGCCUUCUUGAAUGCUGGCUUCAUUCUAAAAUUGGUGCAGGAUAGUGGUGACUAUUUCAAGCACCCAGACAGACCUGGCAGUAGCUAGACAAAGAAGAUGAGCUUCUUUUUCUCUAUCUCCUCUGAAGUCUUGAAGAACCGUUUCUCAAACUUCAAGUCUUUUUGAGUCUUAUGGACAGAAUAGAUUGGGUGGCCAUUCUCCCCUGUGAAUUACCUCCCCUUUAAUCAAUCACCUGUAUUGAUUUUUUUGUUUGUUUUUACCCUAACACUUCUAAACUUUGUCUUCAGGCAGCAGCAAAGCUUGAGUCUGGGCCCUCAGAGUCUUAGAAACUUAAACCUUUUUGCAUAGCUGUUCUCUUUUCUCACCCCCACCCCUAGUCUGUGUAUGCUUUGGGAACAGAAAUACUGGGAAGUCCUUAGCACUGACCUCUAAUUUUGUGUUUUUUCCCUCCUUCCUUCCUUCCUUCCUUCCUUCCUUCCUUCCUUUCUUUCUUUCUUUCUUUCUUUCUUUCUUAGAAUUUAUUUAUUUAUGAGAGAGAUAGGAGGAGAGAGAGAAAGAAGAACCAGAUAUCACCCUGGUACAUAUGUUGCCGGGGAUUGAAUUUGGGACCUCAUAGUGAGGUUCCAAUGCAUUAUCCACUGUGCCAUUUCCCAAACCAUAUCUAGUUUUGUGUUUUUCAACAUUUAGAGGAUGUAGUGUUUCUUCUGGUAUCUUCAUUUGUAGGGAUGUAACCCUCUAUCUCUGCCAGCUAAAAAUAGUGCUUAAUUAAGAACAUAUUUAAAGAGCUAAAGCUGAAACUUUAAAGUUUGUAUGCUUCAGCACCUUUGAGUGUUAUAAGUAAAUGGUUUUUGUAUUUUCACAUUUGAUAAAGUAGUUUUAUAUCCUUUUUUUGAAAUCCAUAAUAUUUAAUUAAAUAUCGGCAGUACAACAUAACAUCUGUAUGACAGAAACUGCUUAUGUUUUGUUAAUAUAUACAAAAAUAUUCUGAUUUUAUCAUUUUUUCUAUUUUAGUUAUCUUUACUGAUUGGAUAGAGAUAUUCAGAUAUUGAGGGGAGGGUGGGGAGAUAGAGAGGAAGAGAGAUAGAGAGACACCUGUAGCCCUGUCUCUACAUUGUGAAGCUUUCCCCUUGCAGGUGGGAACUGGGGCUUGAACCUGGGUCCUUGUGCACUGUAACAUGCUCUCUCAAACAGGUAUGCCACCACCCGGCCCCCUAUUUUAUUUAUUUUUUCACUUGUAGAAAAAUCCAUUUUAUUAAUGUCAAGUUAAUAGUUUUCUCUUGGGAUUAGAUUCCCUUAUUCCCCCCCCCCCCCAAUUCUAUCCUCAGGUCCUGAUGGAAUUGGAGUUCAGAAAACCUCUAUUCAUCUUCCCCCUAACAUUUACCCCUCUGGGAGUAUGAAUCAAAUAAAAAAUAUUUAUUUAUUUAUUAUUGGAUAGAGACAGAGAAAUUGAAAGGGGAGGAAGAGAGAGAGUUAGAGAGACAUCUGCAACCAUGUUUCACCACCUGUGAAGCUUUCCUCCAGGGGCUUGAACCUUGGUCCUCGUGUACCGUAAUGUAUGUGCUUAACCAGAUGUGCCACUGUCUGGUCCCUGAACAAAAUUCCUAAUAGGGUGCAGAAGGUGGACGGUCUGGCAUCUAUAAUUGCUUCUCUGAUGGACAUGGGCAUUGAAGGGUUGGUCCAUAUCCCCAACCUGUUUCUGUCUUUCCCUAGUGGGGUAGGGCUCUGGACAAGUGAGGUUCCGGGAUACAUUGGUGAGGUCAUCUGGCCAGUGAAGACAGGUUGGUGUCAUGGCAACAUCUGGAACUUGGUGGCUGAAAUCAGUAAGAUAUAAAAAGGACAAAAUGUUUAAUUAACAGGAACCAUAAAUUAGGAAUAGGGAUUUUAGGGUGAAUAGAAGUUAGAAGGUUUUCUCUCUCUUUUUUUUUUGCCUCCAGGGUUAUUACUAUGCAUCAACUGCUCCUGGAGACCAUUUUCCCCAUUGUGUUGCUCUUGUUGUUAUUAUUAUUGUUGUCAUUGCUGUUGUUGUUUGACAGGACAGAGAGAAAUCAAGAGAGGAGGGGAAAACAGAACGGGUAAGAGAAAGACACCUGCUGAACUGCUUCACCACUUGUGAAGCAACCCCCCUGUAGCUGGGGAGCCACGGGCUUCAACCAGAAGCUUAAGCCAGACCUUGUGCUUUGCGUCAUAUACACUUAACCCACUUUGCUACUGCAUGGCCACAGAUGUCUUUUCUUUUUUACUUAUGUUCUUAGGGGCCCUUGGCUCAGUUAGAUAGGGCAGCAUGAGUCACAAGCCCUUGGUGCUAAACACAGUUUCAAAGCUCUUUCUUAUAUACCUAAUAAAACACCUACAAAUACAAAUUCCUAAGCCUCAAAAAACAUCUUUUAAAACAGUGACAGUAAAACUAAUGCAUGUGUAAUACAAACACAAUGUUUCUUUUUCAAAGUUGUAUUUUUUACUUAGUGAGUGAGAGGUAGAAUGCCAGUCUGGAUGUACAGUGUGAUGUUUCAAAGUUGGCAGAGGAUCAGAGGGUGGGGAUGUAUAUUGAGCAAAGGUGACACAGAGAUCAGAGCAGCAGUGGGACAUAGGAGUUCUAGGUAGAGGGGUGGAGGGGUAGCUAUUGUAAGCCAAGAUAAUCACAAAUAAAAAAGGCUGAAUAAAUAAAACAUAUCAUAAGUAAUAAGCAGUAACUGUUAACCCUCAGGAAAAAAUCAUAUUUGACAUCUAGAGAAGCUUUUUCCAGAUAUAUCAUUCAUUCAAACAGGUACAGGGUCUGUUUUGUUCAAAAGUAAAGCCUCACUAUCUAGAAAAAUGCCCGAAAGUACAACAGGGACUCGGUGAGUAGCAUGUAAACUAUGUUACCACUAGUUUUUAAUGUACUAGAUAUCUGAAAUAGAAUAAUGAAAGUGAAAGGACAUUCAGAAGAUCUAACAUCAUAGUCUGAGCUAUUUUCAUAAGUGUUUUCUAAAAGUGAGGGACAAAGAUAGAGCCACAAAAACCUACUGGGUUAUUCACAGAGGGAUUUCAUAAGUCUCAGAGUAAGUAUUAAGUCCUAAGGUUGUAUUUGGACCAUAAAUAUAUAGGAGAUGAUAUGCAGAAAGUAUCUUUGGACUUAUUUCUCUCAUGCCUCAGGCAGAUUCUAACAAAGAUGAGCUGGCAGUGCCAGGCAAAUGCCUUCCUGCCUGCUGAAGUGUCUGCUAUUUACUAUUUAUUUAGGAUUGUUUUCAAGCUAUGGUUGGCAUUUAUUUCAUCAGUCACUGAGCAGUUCUGGAAUGGAAAAACCUUACUCUGGAUUUUUUUAAAAAAUACUUUUUCAUGCCCUGUAUGUAGAAAAGCAUUUGUCUGAAGUGAAUUUGUUUUCCUCCCCUGUGUUCUGAGACCAGGUUUUAAGGUUCAGGAUGUUUCAGUCACCAUAGAGCUUUAGUUAAUAUUCACAUUUUUUUUUCUUCAAAAAAUAACCGAGAAUCUCACAUGCUAGAUCCAGUUUGUCUGCUUGAUCUCUGUUUCUUGGGAAUAUUUUCAAGAGAUUUUAUUGUUAAAGGUGCUCUGUAGUAGAGCACUUUUUAAGAAAUGUGAUCUGCUGUUAUUAAAUUGAGAUCAUAUCUUUACAUUAAAGGUACUAAAACAGCC